ensembl:lncRNA
CCUGCUGCGUGAUUAACGGGCUCUUUGUUUUAUGUUUCUGUGGUUUUGAAAAUGGUUCUAUGUAGUACCCAAAGGGGUUCUUCUGUUGUUACAAGCUUGACCUCGCAAUAAUAGAACCCUUUUGGGUGCUAUAUAGAACCCUUUUCAAAAAGGCUCUAUGUAGAACCAUCUAAAGUACCUUCACCAUCAGUCUGAGGAGCCCUUUCAUGAAGGAAAGAACCUUUAAUCAUGCAGCAGGGUCUUUAAGGGUUUGUGGUUCUGUGGAAAACCGUUUUCUUUACUAAAAAGCCCUUGAAGAGCUUUAAGAGCGUAAUUUUAAGUGAGCAGCAGCUUUUUCCCGUGUUUUUGUAGAGCGGUGUUGUUUGAGCCGAGUGGUUUAGCCGCGGGGUUUACGCAGUGCUGAUUGGUGGGGUAUAAGCUUCUCUUGCUUUUUAGGUGUAUUAGGCGUUUAGUUCGUCAGACGCAGCUGAUCAGGUGAGAGGAACGUUGUGUGGUUUAGGUCUGUUUGCCAGCGCCAGCUUUAUACCGUAUAUGUGUUCUUAUGUGCCUUAAACACUCCAUGUCCAGACUAACAAUAGCGCAGCUUAUCCAGGACUGAAGGCUUUGCAGCAAGAGUUUUAAUCAAUGCUCGUUUUUGUCUGAUGUGUUUUCUCUGCUUUUAAGGUGACAGUAGAAGGGAUGUGGGAGGCGGACCAUGGGUUAGGCUCUCAGGGCCAGACUUGAUCUCGUGACGAGAACACAUGUGGGGACAACUUGAACUUUUGGUGCUGGAUUGUGGCUGCUAACGAAGGGAGCUUUUCAGCCUAGUUCUCCUCAGAGAAGAAAUCCCAGCAACAGCAGCACAACAGGAAGCACUGCGAUUCCCAACACGCUCUGUUGUGGUGCCCCUAGACAAGACAGGAACGAGAGACACGGCAGGUCAGACGGCGUGACCGAGAGAAAACCGUAAGUGGAAAUCAUGUUAAAACUGUGACAGUAAAAUUGUGAGAAUCAGACAUUUUUAAGUCCCUUACAGAAACUAACCCCCUCUCCAACUAACUUUUCCCCUCUGGCCCUUCAUCAGUGCUGAUCGUGAAUUUCUUGGUUGAGCUUCAGAUUUUCAGAGGGCUUGUGGAUAUUUCUUUGUCCUUAUUGUACAAGCAAAUCCAUUCAAGCCAGGCAAUAAUUAAUAAACAGUAAACUGGUACACGUGUCCCUCAAGCAUCCCUUACUAAUGAAAGUAUACUUAAAGGUCAUUUUAUUAAGUAAACUUAAGUUCAAGUCUAUUUUUAUAGUACAUAUUAAUACUUUGUGGUAAGUGUACUUACGCUAAUCAGGCCUGACGUUCUGACCACCUCCUUGUUUCUACGCUCACUGUCCAGUUUAUCAGC